AACACUUGGAACGGUUUAGUGGCGAACGGGUGAGUAACACGUGAGGAACCUGCCCCGAAGACCGGGAUAACCCUCCGAAAGGAGAGCUAAUACCGGAUGCCCCCACCAGAUCGCAUGGCCUGGUGAGGAAACGGAUUCCGCUUCGGGAGGGCCUCGCGGCCUAUCAGCUUGUUGGUGGGGUAACGGCCCACCAAGGCAUCGACGGGUAGCUGGUCUGAGAGGACGAUCAGCCACACUGGGACUGAGACACGGCCCAGACUCCUACGGGAGGCAGCAGUAGGGAAUCUUGCGCAAUGGGCGAAAGCCUGACGCAGCAACGCCGCGUGGGGGAUGAAGGCUCUCGGGUUGUAAACCCCUUUCAGUAGGGACGAAUCAAGACGGUACCUACAGAAGAAGCCCCGGCUAACUACGUGCCAGCAGCCGCGGUAACACGUAGGGGGCAAGCGUUGUCCGGAUUUAUUGGGCGUAAAGAGCUCGUAGGUGGCUCGGUAAGUCGGGUGUUAAACCCCCAGGCUCAACCUGGGGCGCCACUCGAUACUGUCGUGGCUAGAGUCCGGUAGGGGAGCGUGGAAUUCCUGGUGUAGCGGUGAAAUGCGCAGAUAUCAGGAGGAACACCAGCGGCGAAGGCGGCGCUCUGGGCCGGAACUGACACUGAGGAGCGAAAGCGUGGGUAGCAAACAGGAUUAGAUACCCUGGUAGUCCACGUCGUAAACGUUGGGCACUAGGUGUGGGGUCUAUUCAACGGACUCC
rnacentral:rRNA from 1 species